rnacentral:rRNA from 1 species
UACGUAGGUCCCGAGCGUUAUCCGGAUUUACUGGGUGUAAAGGGAGCGUAGGCGGCGCGUUAAGUCUGAUGUGAAAACCCGAGGCUCAACCACGGGAGUGCAUUGGAAACUGGCGGGCUGGAGUGCCGGAGAGGUAAGCGGAAUUCCUAGUGUAGCGGUGAAAUGCGUAGAUAUUAGGAGGAACACCAGUGGCGAAGGCGGCUUACUGGACGGCAACUGACGCUGAGGCUCGAAAGCGUGGGGAGCAAACAGG